CACCAGUGUGCUUUGCAUCAGCAUCAGUGUGCAUGCCAGUAUUCAACAUUGUUCAGAAGUCAUGAGGCUCAAAUCGACAUCUUUUUCAAAGUUAUCACCAGUGUGCUUUGCAUCAGUAUCAGUGUGCAUGCCAGUAUUCAACAUUGUUCAGAAGUCAUCAGGCUGAAAUCGACAUCUUUUCUCAAAGUUAUCACCAGUGUGCU